rnacentral:hammerhead_ribozyme from 1 species
AUCCAGAUGAUGAAUCCCAAAUAGGAUGAAAUGCUCAUCAUGCAU